rnacentral:rRNA from 1 species
UACGUAGGGUCCGAGCGUUGUCCGGAAUUACUGGGCGUAAAGAGCUCGUAGGCGGUUCGUCGCGUCGGCUGUGAAAUCCCGAGGCUCAACCUCGGGUCUGCAGUCGAUACGGGCGGACUGGAGUUCGGCAGGGGAGACUGGAAUCCUGGUGUAGCGGUGAAAUGCGCAGAUAUCAGGAGGAACACCGGUGGCGAAGGCGGGUCUCUGGGCCGAUGACUGACGCUGAGGAGCGAAAGCGUGGGGAGCGAACAGG